GAAGAUGCUGGCCACAGCGAGAGCAUUGCUCAGGAUCUUGUGGGCGUAGCCUCCCUCGACAUGGAGCUUGUCGCUGACAGUGCCGCUGAUACCUUCGAAGCCGUCGAUGCAGGUAUCGUGGAAAGUUAGCGCAGAGCUGAGUGAUGUCAAGAGAUCGUCCACUGACGAUGCUUUGCUGAGCAGGGACUUGAUAUCGAUGGAGGCGAUGGUGAGGUUGAGCUGGUCCAGAGCACCGUCGAGGUUGUCCACGCAAUCAACGAGCGCGGCUUUGGUGGUGGCGUUGACUUCGCUGUUGAGGUACUCUUCCACCUUGUUCAUCAAGCUCUGGAUCUGCUGCUGAGCCACACGAACUGCCGACGCUGCCAGAUCGUUUGGAGUGGCAUUGUCCGGCGUCGAGGACGAGAGCGACGAGACACACUCCUGGGGGAAGUCCGUCUGCUGGCACGUAGCUUGGAGGAGCUUGACGCCGCCUUUGCUGCUGCCGCCUUU
rnacentral:lncRNA from 1 species